rnacentral:misc_RNA from 1 species
AUCCAGGUGCACAAAGAA